GACGAACCGUGCGAACGUUAUUCGGAAUCACUGGGCUUAAAGCGCGUGUAGGCGGACGGGGACGUCGGUUGCUGAAAUCCCCCGGCUCAACCGGGGAACGGGCACCGAAACGCCCCGUCUCGAGGGACGUAGGGGGACCUGGAACUUCCGGUGGAGCGGUGAAAUGCGUUGAGAUCGGAAGGAACGCCCGUGGCGAAAGCGAGGUCCUGGACGUUUUCUGACGCUGAGACGCGAAAGCUAGGGUAGCGAACGGG
rnacentral:rRNA from 1 species